GCGACUGGGCCGACAGUCCCUGAAGUGACACACAGGGCACAGGGUGAGGAAGGGCUAAACCCCGAAAGAUGUGGGAGUCCAGGGAGAAAGUGGAGUUGAAGACAGCCUCCAGGGCUGGACCCAGGGUUGCCCUGCCAGGCAGCCCUCCUUAGGACCUGUCUGUAGCGGGGGUGUGGGUCCAUGAAGGGCGUGCCCCAGCACCGCAUCCCCACCAGCCACAGCACGGCCAGUCUGUAUCAGGAUCUUUUCCAAAGGAUUGACUCUGAAUCAGGUGGCCAGCAUAUUGGAGCUUCAGCUUCGGUAUAAGUCCUUCCAAUUGAACAUUAAGGGUUGAUUUCUUUUAUGAUUGACUGGUUUGAUCUCUUUGCAAUCCAAGGGACUCUCAAGAGUCUUCUCCAGCACCACAGUAUGAAAAGUUCCCAGUCCUGCAGGGCACCAAAUCCAGCCCGUGGAGUGGCCCCGAAGGGCAGACCUCUUUUGUUCACACAGCAUCUCUGCUAGGCUGCAGCACAACCUCUGCAGAACUUGCCCUAGGAAAAAGGCCUCUGGGUGACCACUCCCUACUCCAGCUCCUCGCCAAGGAAAGAGCUGGAUCCCACCAUCUAGGAGCCAAGACUCAGCAGACAUGGGUCUGAGUCACAGCACCACUAGCCAGCCAUGGACCCAAGGCUCAGUUUUCCCAUCUGAGAAAUGGAUGUGAAAAUAAAACCUGGCCUACCCUCUGGUGUUGGCAGGCAUAUCCCAGAAAGCACGUGAGGAUGAACUCUGCAGAUUGAGGAUGUGUGGUGUUGGAAGAGGCAGCCUCCUGCCAGGCUCCCUCCCGGCCUGGCCGCCUGCACAAGACAGCCCAGUCCUGAGCUCAUGGCACUCUGAGAACUUUCCAAGUUAGCAACCACAGCAUCUUCCAGAGGAGAGAAGAGGUCACUAGAGGGCUGGGUGUGUAGAAGGUGCGGGGUUGCAGAAAAACCAUGCAAAUCAUUUGUAUAAAAUGUUUCAUUCGAUGUCUGUACUGAAAAAAAAAUACAUACAACCUGAAAGUAAA